CCUACGGGGAGGCAGCAGUGGGGAAUUUUGCGCAAUGCUCGUAAGAGUGACGCAGCGACGCCGCGUGAAUGACGAAGGCCUUCGGGUCGUAAAGUUCUUUCGACAGGGAAGAAAAUGCCUAUAAGUAACUGUGUAUGUAGUGACGGUACCGGUAUAAGCACCCCCGGCUAACUCCGGGCCAGCAGCAGCGGUAAUACGGAGGGGGCGAGCGUUGUUCGGAGUGACUGGGCGUAAAGAGCACGUAGGCGGUGUUGUAAGUCAGUAGUCAAAGACUAGAGCUCAACUUUAGUAAGGCUAGUGAUACUAUAGUACUAGAGUAUCAGAGAGGAUUGCAGAAUUCCUGGUGUAGCGGUGAAAUGCGUAGAUAUCAGGAAGAAUACCGUUAGCGAAGGCGGCAAUCUGGCUGGUAACUGACGCUGAGGUGCGAAAGCGUGGGUAGCAAACAGGAUUAGAUACCCCAGUAGUC
rnacentral:rRNA from 1 species